rnacentral:rRNA from 1 species
AGACCCGAAACCCGGUGAUCUAGCCAUGGGCAGGUUGAAGGUUGGGUAACACUAACUGGAGGACCGAACCGACUAAUGUUGAAAAAUUAGCGGAUGACCUGUGGCUGGGGGUGAAAGGCCAAUCAAACCGGGAGAUAGCUGGUUCUCCCCGAAAGCUAUUUAGGUAGCGCCUCGUGAAUUCAUCUCCGGGGGUAGAGCACUGUUUCGGCUAGGGGGCCAUCCCGGCUUACCAACCCGAUGCAAACUGCGAAUACCGGAGAAUGUUAUCACGGGAGACACACGGCGGGUGCUAACGUCCGUCGUGAAGAGGGAAACAACCCAGACCGCCAGCUAAGGUCCCAAAGUCAUGGUUAAGUGGGAAACGAUGUGGGAAGGCCCAGACAGCCAGGAUGUUGGCUUAGAAGCAGCCAUCAUUUAAAGAAAGCGUAAUAGCUCACUGGUCGAGUCGGCCUGCGCGGAAGAUGUAACGGGGCUAAACCAUGCACCGAAGCUGCGGCAGCGACGCUGAUGCGUUGUUGGGUAGGGGAGCGUUCUGUAAGCCUGUGAAGGUGGCCUGUGAGGGUUGCUGGAGGUAUCAGAAGUGCGAAUGCUGACAUAAGUAACGAUAAAGCGGGUGAAAAGCCCGCUCGCCGGAAGACCAAGGGUUCCUGUCCAACGUUAAUCGGGGCAGGGUGAGUCGACCCCUAAGGCGAGGCCGAAAGGCGUAGUCGAUGGGAAACGGGUUAAUAUUCCCGUACUUGGUGUUACUGCGAAGGGGGGACGGAGAAGGCUAUGUUGGCCGGGCGACGGUUGUCCCGGUUUAAGCGUGUAGGUGUGUGUUCCAGGUAAAUCCGGUUCACUUUAACACUGAGGCGUGAUGACGAGGCACUACGGUGCUGAAGCAACAAAUGCCCUGCUUCCAGGAAAAGCCUCUAAGCAUCAGGUAACAUCAAAUCGUACCCCAAACCGACACAGGUGGUCAGGUAGAGAAUACCAAGGCGCUUGAGAGAACUCGGGUGAAGGAACUAGGCAAAAUGGUGCCGUAACUUCGGGAGAAGGCACGCUGACACGUAGGUGAAGUGAUUUACUCACGGAGCUGAAGUCAGUCGAAGAUACCAGCUGGCUGCAACUGUUUAUUAAAAACACAGCACUGUGCAAACACGAAAGUGGACGUAUACGGUGUGACGCCUGCCCGGUGCCGGAAGGUUAAUUGAUGGGGUCAGCGCAAGCGAAGCUCCUGAUCGAAGCCCCGGUAAACGGCGGCCGUAACUAUAACGGUCCUAAGGUAGCGAAAUUCCUUGUCGGGUAAGUUCCGACCUGCACGAAUGGCGUAAUGAUGGCCAGGCUGUCUCCACCCGAGACUCAGUGAAAUUGAACUCGCUGUGAAGAUGCAGUGUACCCGCGGCAAGACGGAAAGACCCCGUGAACCUUUACUAUAGCUUGACACUGAACAUUGAGCCUUGAUGUGUAGGAUAGGUGGGAGGCUUUGAAGUGUGGACGCCAGUCUGCAUGGAGCCGACCUUGAAAUACCACCCUUUAAUGUUU